rnacentral:lncRNA from 1 species
GAAAAAAACAUUGAAGACCACAUAACAUGUUGAUAAGAUGACACUGGAGUUAUGCACAUGUGAUGCGGAGUGUUUGUGUUUGUUUCUUUAAGUGUCUAAAAUGAAUAGCAAAGUUGUGAUUUGCAAUGAUUGCUUAGGGUCAGUCCAGUAACAAUACGCCAAUGAAGUGCUUUCCUUUAACAAUGCAAAGUGAAGUGUCCACCUCCACAGCCACAAUUUAAAAAAUUAAUGUUAUAAUAAUAAUAAUAAUAAUAAUAAUAAUAAUAAAUAGUCCACUGAUAUUAGCAAUCACAGAAAAUUAUAUCACCAUCCCAAAUAAAACUUUAAUAAAACAUGCCAGCAUUAUUGUCUAACAAUAAAACAGCUUGUCAGCGUUCAGUUUUUUUGCAACAGCACAACAGUAACCAUUUAACACUUGCCACGCUCAACGUUUAUUUUACCAGUGUUUGGGCAAAAAACUUGGGUUGUAAACAUUUUAACAUGGAAACAAUUGUUCGUCUUUAAAAGUCCGCAGAAUAUACAUUCAUCCUGCAUUCCUAACUUAUCCUUAUUCUUAGUAUGUAUUGCAAUUACCUUUACAAUGCACACAAUGUAACACAAACAGAAUAUGGACAUAUUUCCACCUCAUAACAAUAUGCCUUGAACGCUAAUAUACACACCACCCUUCAACAUUUCUGGUGCAGUAUCAUUAAGUGUGCCUAUGCCAAGAGGCACACUUAUUACUAUUCCUCGGAUUUAUUAUUCGUCGGAUUUAUUAUUAAGUGUGCCUAUGCCAAGAGGCACACUUAUUACUAUUCGUCGGAUUUAUUAUUAUGUGUGCCUAUGCCAAGAGGCACACAUAUUACUAUUCAUCGGAUUUAUUAUUAUGUGUGCCUAUGCCAAGAGGCACACAUAUUACUAUUCGUCGGAUUUAUUAUUAUUAUUAUUAUUAUUAUUAUUAUUAUUAUUAGGAUUUAUUAUUAUUAUUAUUAUUAUGUGUGCCUAUGACAAGAGGCACACAUAUUACUAUUCGUCGGAUUUAUUAUGUGUGCCUAUGCCAAGAGGCACACAUAUUACUAUUCGUCGGAUUUAUUAUUAUGUGUGCCUAUGCCAAGAGGCACACAUAUUACUAUUCGUCGGAUUUAUUAUGUGUGCCUAUGCCAAGAGGCACACAUAUUACUAUUCCUCGGAUUUAUUAUUAUUAUGUGUGCCUAUGCCAAGAGGCACACAUAUUACUAUUCCUCGGAUUUAUUAUUAUUAUUCUUCAGUUUCCGCCUGA